rnacentral:rRNA from 1 species
UGGGGUAACAGGGAGAAGCUUGCUUUUCCGCUGACGACCGGCGCACGGGUGCGUAACGCGUAUAGAACCUACCUUUUACAGGAGAAUAGCCUUUAGAAAUGAAGAUUAAUGCUCCAUAGUAUUAUUGAUUGGCAUCAAUUAAUAAUUAAACAUUUAUGGGUAAAAGAUGGCUAUGCGUUCUAUUAGCUAGAUGGUAAGGUAACGGCUUACCAUGGCGACGAUAGAUAGGGGCCCUGAGAGGGGGAUCCCCCACACUGGUACUGAGACACGGACCAGACUCCUACGGGAGGCAGCAGUGAGGAAUAUUGGGCAAUGGAGGCAACUCUGACCCAGCCAUGCCGCGUGCAGGAAGACGGCCCUAUGGGUUGUAAACUGCUUUUAUAUAGGAAGAAACCUACUUACGUGUAAGUAGCUGACGGUACUAUAUGAAUAAGCACCGGCUAACUCCGUGCCAGCAGCCGCGGUAAUACGGAGGGUGCAAGCGUUAUCCGGAAUCAUUGGGUUUAAAGGGUCCGUAGGCGGAUUAAUAAGUCAGAGGUGAAAUCCCACAGCUUAACUGUGGAACUGCCUUUGAUACUGUUAGUCUUGAGUUAUAUGGAAGUAGAUAGAAUGUGUAGUGUAGCGGUGAAAUGCAUAGAUAUUACACAGAAUACCGAUUGCGAAGGCAGUCUACUACGUAUGUACUGACGCUGAGGGACGAAAGCGUGGGGAGCGAACAGGAUUAGAUACCCUGGUAGUCCACGCCGUAAACGAUGGAUACUAGUUGUUGGGAUUAUUCUCAGUGACUAAGCGAAAGUGAUAAGUAUCCCACCUGGGGAGUACGGUCGCAAGACUGAAACUCAAAGGAAUUGACGGGGGCCCGCACAAGCGGUGGAGCAUGUGGUUUAAUUCGAUGAUACGCGAGGAACCUUACCAGGGCUUAAAUGUAGUCUGACAGCUUUAGAGAUAGAGUUUUCUUCGGACAGAUUACAAGGUGCUGCAUGGUUGUCGUCAGCUCGUGCCGUGAGGUGUCAGGUUAAGUCCUAUAACGAGCGCAACCCCUGUCGUUAGUUGCCAGCAAGUAAAGUUGGGGACUCUAACGAGACUGCCUACGCAAGUAGAGAGGAAGGUGGGGAUGACGUCAAAUCAUCACGGCCCUUACGUCCUGGGCCACACACGUGCUACAAUGGUAUGGACAAUGAGCAGCCAUCUGGCAACAGAGAGCGAAUCUAUAAACCAUAUCACAGUUCGGAUCGGAGUCUGCAACUCCACUCCAUGAAGCUGGAAUCGCUAGUAAUCGGAUAUCAGCCAUGAUCCA